rnacentral:lncRNA from 1 species
AGCCUCACCUGUCCAUACCAGCCUCACCUAUCCACGCCACCCUCACCUGUCCAUUAUCAGCCUCACCUGUCCACACCAGUCUCCUCUCUCUCCAUCUUGUCCCCUGGCAGAGGGUGUCCUCCUGCCGUGAGCUAACACUGACCCCUGUGAGAGGCCCACGGGGCAGGGGACUGUGGGUGGCUUCUAGGCUCUGGUUUGCCAGCCCCGCCAGGAUCUGGUUCCAUUAAUUGGGCCCUUGUCCUCCUGCAACUUCAUUUUUGUCAUUCACUCCACAGACACCCACUGAGCAUCUCAAGGAGCCUGGCUGGGCAGGGGUAUAAACACUGACUGAGAGCUAGUUCAGGCGGGUCCUCUCUCUCUACGUAUUAGUGCAUUUAAGCCUUGUGACAACCUGUGAGCUGGGUUUUAUCGUCCCAAUUUCUAGACACGGAAAGGGAAGCCGGAAGGUUAAGUAACCCCUUCAAGGUCAGCCACAGCUACGCAAGGAUGAGCCGGAGCUGAGACCCAGAGCAGGCUGGGCCCUCAGGGACUGGUAGUCCUGUGAAAAUGGCUCGGGUCCUCUUCCACCUCACCACUGCUGCCACCUCCCGGAAGCUCCUCCGGAGCACCAACGUCUCUGCUGUUGGCUUUCUACCCUCCCACCCUCAGCCUUGACCCCUGAACCUCGGUUCCCCUUCUCACGCCCUCCCCAGCUCGCUGAGAUGACCCUGAUCAAGGUCACCAGGAAGUCCUGCUGUCAAAGGAAACGCUGCCUUUCCCUCGUUCUCACGUUCGAGCAUGUGAAGCAAGUGCAGAGCUAUUUCAGCAUCUGUGGUAUUUCGGCACCUCCCAUUUCUGCUGAUGUUGACAUCUGAGUAGCAAGUGGCUGUUGAGGACCUACAGAGCCACAGCAUUCUCCCUCGAGGCGGGUCCUGGGGAACAAAAGGCCAGGCCACCUUGAAUCCUUCACAAACUGUGAGAGCACCUACGUCUGCACAACUCAGGAGAGAUUUUGCUAAUUGGCACAGCUGUGCCAGCCGUGAGGCUGCAGGCACGUGACAGAACUCUCCAAACCUGUUUCUUCAACAGUAGCAA